GAUCAACGCUGGCGGCGUGCCUAAUGCAUGCAAGUCGAACGGGGUCGCCUUCGGGCGAUUCACGUGGCGGACGGGUGAGGAACACGUGGGCGAUCUGCCCCGAGGCGGGGGAUAGCCACCAGAAAUGGUGGGUAAGACCGCAUGAGCUCGUUGGAUUACGGUCCAACGAGGAAAACGCAGUGAUGCGUACCUUGGGAGGAGCCUGCGGCGGAUUAGCUAGUUGGUGGGGUAACGGCUCACCAAGGCGAUGAUCCGUAGCUGGUCUGAGAGGAUGGCCAGCCACAGGGGAACUGAGACACGGUCCCCACUCCUACGGGAGGCAGCAGCAAGGAAUUUUCCGCAAUGGGCGAAAGCCUGACGGAGCAACGCCGCGUGGGUGAUGACGCUUUUCGGAGUGUAAAGCCCUUUUCUCAGGGAAGAACACAAUGACGGUACCUGAGGAAUAAGGACCGGCUAACUACGUG
rnacentral:rRNA from 1 species